AUAUAAAUAAGCUAAAAUAAGCUAGUAGGUUCAUACCCUAAAAAUAGAUUAAUUCUUUUAUAUA
rnacentral:tRNA from 1 species